rnacentral:misc_RNA from 1 species
CUUUUUUUGAGUUCGUCAUAGUUUGCUUUUUUGCCAGAAACCUCUUUUCCUUACUAAAAGUGUAUCAACCUCAGCUCAAGGCAGGACAGAAGAUUUUUUUGACUUAACCACUCCCUCCUCCUCGGGAGGCACUGAUGGCCGAAGGCGAAGCCUCCCAACAAGUCAUAGAGGUAUCGAAUAAUUAGACCACGCCCGCUGGGGCGGCAAAUGUGAGAGCGUGACCCAUGGCGCUUAUCAUGGUAGGGCCUUCUGGGUCUGGAUUCGUGGCACCCCAUUACAGCUGUCGUGGUAGAAGAUCUGUUAAGGGAGCCCCUGCAGUCGAAAUGCUAUCUAGUCGGCUUACCAGAGGUGAGUAGCUAAACGGAG